GUCCUGCUUCUGAGCCUCGUGUUUGUUGGCAUUGAAGUUGGGGGCCUUCCAGGUGCCAGGCCCUUUCUGUCAGAGCGCACGGCUUCCUGAGCAGGUACCAGAUGAGAAGGCAGUGCGGAACAAGAAAGAAACAAGAGUGGGUGGACUGACCUCUAUUUUCGUGGCUUUGUUAAAAACUGGAAGUUUUCUGAAAGACUGGUGAGAUCCUCCAAAUCCCUAGCCUCUGAGAGCCAGAGGGAAAGGCCAUUCAUGUUCGUGGACCUGGAACCUGUCCACCACCAGGCCCAGCCCUGGCAUGAGGCCACAGCAGCAGGGCCACUGCCCCAGUGAAACUGGAUCCAUCCAAUGAAGCUACCUGCCACUUUCCAUCAUGAGUAGAAGCAGCCUGAGGCCCGUGCCAGAUGCAGCUGUCCCAGAAUCAUAAGCCAAAUAAAC